GACGAACGCUGGCGGCGUGCUUAACACAUGCAAGUCGAACGAAGUGGAGAACGGGUGAGUAACGCGUAAUCAACCUGCCCUUCAGAGGGGGACAACAGUUGGAAACGACUGCUAAUACCGCAUACGGAAGGAGGGGAUUGCGUCUGAUUAGGUAGUUGGAGGGGUAACGGCCCACCAAGGCGAUGAUCAGUAGCCGGGCUGGUAGGGUGGACGGCCACAUUGGGAAUGGGACACGGGCCAGACUCCUACGGGAGGCAGCAGUGGGGAAUCUUCCGAAAUGGACGAAAGUCUGACGAAGCAACGCCGCGUGAGUGAUGACGGCCUUCGGGUUGUAAAGCUCUGUUAAUCGGGACGCGUUACCGGAAUAGAAAGCCACGGCUAACUACGUGCCAGCAGCCGCGGUAAUAC
rnacentral:rRNA from 1 species